ACCUGUGUGGCAUAGUGGUUUGAGUUUUUGUUGGAAUAUGACUCUGGAGACCAGAGUUCAAUUCCCAGCUCAGGCA